rnacentral:lncRNA from 1 species
UAAAAUAAAUUUCUAUAGAAAUAUUUGUAAAUAAUUUUUUCGCACAUGAAAGUAAAGUAAAAAUUGUAUGAAUAGAAAUACAGAUAACCAAAAUAUAAGAUUUGAUCUACAAUGACACGUGGGCUCUAAUUGACCAAAAGGAUGUAAGACUGUGAACUCUUACUUUCUAUAAUGCAGUUCCGAGCUUAGUUCUCGUCCUACUCGACUAUCUACAAACUGUCUUGAGCCUGAAAAAUGUAUAGGAAGAAGGGAUGAGAUUUUAUAAUCCCAAUGAGUAAACAGAUACCAUCUAAAGUAUCUAAAACCGAGCAAAUAGAGACAAUAAAAUAUCCCAUCCCAAUAUGCAUUUCAUAACUUAGAAAUUUAUUUCAUCCCAUGAAAACAAUUAUAAUUCAAUUAAAAUGAUUUUCAAGGUUUAUGUCUCUCAUAAAAUUUGGCUCAUGCCAAAACUCAUCCUCGGGGAUACUUGAUCGUCAUCAAAGCAUCCACUCAAGUCCGCCAAGGCUGUUAAAAUGACUUAUUCAUAUAAUAUAGCUGUCCCUUGGCGUUGGCUGAAGCUCACUUUCACAUGGUGGUAAAGCGUGAAGUGGACUCAAAUCCCUCCACAAGAGUUACCCUACGCGCCUCUCCCAUAGAGGUAAAAUAAAUUAGCCGGAUUUACUGAGCCCCUCUAAUAGGAUGGUCCACGAAAACCUGCCACUGCAGUGUAAGUCAGCCCCACCAUAAUCAUAAAAUAGUUUAACAGCAUAACAAGGUAAUUUUUUUAUAAUAACUAAUUUGCACCGCAAAUCACAAUUCAUGUAAUUUCAAUACAAUAAACCAGCCAAGCAUGCUCAUACUAUCAUAAGCCAUUUGAAUUAAAAAUACAAUUCAUACUUAACAACCACAGUCUCCAUGUGCUCUAUUUAAAAAAAAUAACAUUCAUCAUUAAUUUCAAACAAUUUAUAAAACCAUUUUAUAAAAACACAUUUAUUUAUAAAACACGAAAUUUAUCCUUUUUAAAUCCAUUUUUCAUAAAAUUUAUAAAAUUUCAUAAAAACUACCUUAGAUAAAUUAAAUGAUAAUAAGUUUACUCACAGUAUUAGGAGUAGAAAUACUCNNN